rnacentral:rRNA from 1 species
GAUGAACGCGGCGGCGUGCCUAAUACAUGCAAGUAGAACGCUGAAGCUUGGUGCUUGCACCGAGCGGUGAGUUGCGAACGGGUGAGUAACGCGUAGGUAACCUGCCUCUUAGCGGGGGAUAACUAUUGGAAACGCUAGCUAAUACCGCAUAAAAGUCGAUAUCGCAUGAUGUUGAUUUGAAAGGUGCAAUUGCAUCACUAAGAGAUGGACCUGCGUUGUAUUAGCUAGUUGGUGAGGUAACGGCUCACCAAGGCGACGAUACAUAGCCGACCUGAGAGGGUGAUCGGCCACACUGGGACUGAGACACGGCCCAGACUCCUACGGGAGGCAGCAGUAGGGAAUCUUCGGCAAUGGGGGCAACCCUGACCGAGCAACGCCGCGUGAGUGAAGAAGGUUUUCGGAUCGUAAAGCUCUGUUGUAAGAGAAGAACGAGUGUGAGAGUGGAAAGUUCACACUGUGACG